ensembl:snoRNA
AUUCCUUUGUAGUUCAUAAGCGUGAGCAUUGGAUGUUCAGUGCAUUUGUGAGAUGUGCCUCCCUCAAACUCUAUUUUGAUGUCAGCACCUUACCAGUCUGACA